rnacentral:rRNA from 1 species
UGGGGAAUAUUGGGCAAUGGGCGAAAGCCUGACCCAGCAACGCCGCGUGAAGGAAGAAGGUUUUCGGAUCGUAAACUUCUAUCCCGGGUGAAGAUAAUGACGGUAGCCCGGAAGGAAGCCCCGGCUAACUACGUGCCAGCAGCCGCGGUAAUACGUAGGGGGCAAGCGUUGUCCGGAGUGAUUGGGCGUAAAGGGCGCGUAGGCGGCCUUGUAAGUCCGAUGUGAAAUUCCUGCUUUUAAGGUAGGAAUUGCAUUGGAAACUGCGGGGCUUGAGUGCAGGAGAGGUAAGCGGAAUUCCCGGUGUAGCGGUGAAAUGCGUAGAGAUCGGGAGGAACACCAGUGGCGAAGGCGGCUUACUGGACUGUAACUGACGCUGAGGCGCGAAAGUGUGGGGAGCAAA